UUCACCCUGACGACAUCGCUCGUGGGUCUCAGAAAUUGUAUACUAGACUAGUUCGAAGUCUAUUUGCUAGUCUAGUGUACAGUUCAUGGGAUCUCAGAGCACUGACUUCUCCGAAAUGG
rnacentral:precursor_RNA from 8 species